rnacentral:rRNA from 1 species
UUCUAUUAGAUAUAAUUAAUAGUAAGAUCUGCUCCAUGUUAAAUAAAUAGCCGCAAUUUGUGCUAAGGUAGCAUAAUCAUUUGUCUUUUAAAUGAAGACUAGAACAAAAGAUCUAACAUUUUCAGUUUAUAUUCCUAAUUUAUAUAAUCAAAUUUUUCUAAAACGUAAAAAGACAUUUAUAUAAGAGAAAGACGAUAAGACCCUAUUGAACUUAACUGUAGUUAAACUGGGGCAGUAAAUUAAUUAUUAUUUUAAUAUAUAUAUUAAUAUAUAAAUAUCUAAUAAAAUUAAAUGAUUCAGUUACCAUAGGGAUAACAGCGUAAUAAUAUUUUAAAGACCUUAUUAAAAAAAUAGAUUACGACCUCGAUGUUGAAUUAAUAUCCUAAUUAAGGCAAAACUUAAAAAAGGAAGUCUGUUCGACUUUUAAAAAAUUACANNNNNNNNNNUCAAACCGGUGUAAGCCAGGUCGGUUUCUAUCUUCUAAACAAUUUUUUACAGUACGAAAGGACCUAAAAAUAUAAUU